rnacentral:rRNA from 1 species
ACGGCUCAGUAACACGUGGAUAACCUGCCCAAGGGUCCGGGAUAACCCCGGGAAACUGGGGAUAAUACCGGAUGGAUCACUAGUGCUGGAAUGCUUGGUGGUUUAAAGGUAUACGCCUUUGGAUGGGUCUGCGGCGGAUUAGGUUGACGCCGGUGUAACGUACCGGCGUGCCUGUAAUCCGUACGGGUUGUGGGAGCAAGAGCCCGGAGAUGGAUUCUGAGACACGAAUCCAGGCCCUACGGGGCGCAGCAGGCGCGAAAACUCUACAAUGCAGGCAACUGCGAUAGGGGGACAUCGAGUGGCAUCCACCUUGGGUGCCUGUCCAACCGUCUAAAAAACGGUUGUUAGCAAGGGCCGGGUAAGACCGGUGCCAGCCGCCGCGGUAAUACCGGCGGCUCGAGUGGUGGCCGAUAUUAUUGAGUCUAAAGGGUCCGUAGCCGGCUUUGCAAGUCCCCUGGGAAAUCCAGCGGCUUAACCGUUGGGCUUUCAUGGGAUACUACAUUGCUUGGGACUGGGAGAGGUAGGAGGUACUCGGGGGGUAGGGGUGAAAUCCUGUAAUCCUCCGGGGACCACCGGUGGCGAAGGCGUCCUACCAGAACAGGUCCGACGGUGAGGGACGAAAGCUAGGGGCACGAACCGGAUUAGAUACCCGGGUAGUCCUAGCCGUAAACGAUGCCCGCUAGGUGUCACGACGGUCGUGAAUCGUCGUGGUGCCGUAGGGAAGCCGCGAAGCGGGCCACUUGGGAAGUACGGCCGCAAGGCUGAAACUUAAAGGAAUUGGCGGGGGAGCAC